rnacentral:sRNA from 1 species
AUAUCUCUCCGUACGGGAAGGAUGAGAAGCUUCGACUAAGGUUCGAUUCGAGCGCAGCGAGAAAGCGUUGCCGCAGGCAACGACCCGAAGGGUGAAGCGCGCAGCGAGAAAGCGUUGCCGCAGGCAACGACCCGAAGGGUGAAGCGCGCAGCGCUGAGUAAUCCUUCCCCCACCACCA